UUAAGUUCAGCGGGUAUUCCUACCUGAUCCGAGGUCAACCUUUUAGAUAUAGACCGAAGUCUAGGUUUUACGGCCGGGAAACCCCCCACGGACCUCCUAAGCGAGAAUUUUACUACUGCGCUCGGAGCCGCGGCGGGUCCGCCACUGUUUCUAGGAGCUUCCCGCGAGGGAACGCCCCGACGCCAGGCACCAGGGCCUGA
rnacentral:misc_RNA from 1 species